GCGCGAGCGGCCGGGCCGGGAGGUGCGGAAGUUCGCCGCGGCUGUUCAUUGGCAGGCCGAGCCGCUUUCAUCAUUUCUCGGAAAAGUCAAUUUCAUUUUCACUUCCCCACGGCGCGGCGGCGGGAGCAACAAGCGGCUGCUCGUGCAGUUUAAUCAGCUUCUCCCAAACUGAUCUAACAAAGAAAGACCCUUCCUGGGAGGCCAUAGUUAUGUACAGGCAAACACUUUUCUAAAAACAUAACUCCAACAUCCCUCUUUGCCACAGAAGUAUUGAGUUCUAGGGACUGGAAAAAGAAAGCAUCUGAAGACGCCUGUGUGGUUAGGAGACAGCCAGCCGAGUGUUUAGGAUUCUGUCUUCUACGUGAUCUCAGCAAUAGAUACACACAUUCCUUCUCAUCCUCUCGCCUCUAAUACCAUCUGCCAUAGCUACUCGCUUUCCUAUUUCACAUAACAGUGACCACGACAGGCAGUUGGAGUCGUCCUAUACAAAGUCUGUAGGGUGGUUGUCACUUUUUGCCCACCUACAGACCCAAGUUAAAAACCCCAGCAUCCAUUCAAUCGGUAGCAUCCUGCUGGCUUGUUACUACUCCCAAAUCCGGACCCGGCCCUCCCCAUCUGCCCUGUAUUGCCUUCAUUCAGUGAUGAACCCGCCUCCAGCUGUGCUCCCAGGUUGUGCUCCUCCGGGCUAGCAGCCACACUACUGUCCAAUUAAGUAGAAAAUCAACUCCAAAUAAAGCGCGUUCCAACCCUAACUCCACCCCUCAAAAACCUCUCCCAGCCUUCAGAAUAAAAUCCAUAUUAUUUAACAAAACAUAUAAAAUCAGUAUAAUCUGGCACCAAAGUCCUUUCCCAGCCCCAUCUCCUGCUCCAGGGCCCCACAAGCCCUUGGCAAACCAGCUGCCACUCCUGGUUGUGAAACAACAGAGCCAUCCUCUUGUUUGUUGUUUUAUGCUGAGCAUGGUGCCCUGCACGCAGGCGCUCAAAUAAAUGCUUGUGAAUGAAUAAUUCCUUGCCCUUUUGUUCCUCAUGAAAUAUUUUAGACUCCAUCAGAGUCUUUUAUUAACAUGCGGUGACCGAUACUCGUUGUACAGAAUGCCGAAGAGUUGAAAGAAAAACAUAAGCCACCUGGAAUCUCAGCGGUCGGGAACUGAGGACACCAGUCAUUGGAUUCGGGGCCCGCCCUACUCCAGGAUGAUCUCAUCUUCAAUUACAUCGGCAAGGACCUGUUUCCACAUAAGGUCGCAUUUUGAGUACUGAAGGUUAUGACUUCCACAAAUGAAUGGAGUGGCGGACACAAUUCAACACGUAACAGACAACUGGAGAUAAGAAAGAAAACACAACCAACCAUGAGUGGAAAGGCGUUCAGACUGAAGGAGAGAAAGAAAUACGGAUACCAAGCGACAGAGGUGGUUGUACGCAUUGAUAGAGUGGAACCAGCCACAUGAGAGGUACCCACAUAUAAGGUCAUCAUCAACGUGCUCAAUUGUCUCCCGUUUUUCUUUGUUUCUCUUUCCCAUCUUUGUAAGAACUUCUUAUCUUUGCAGUGAUGCAGAACCAACAGAAUCAUGACCUCUUGUUUCCAUGUAUGCAUUUGAGGUCAUGCUUUUAUGAUACCUUUGGGCAAAACUUUUUCCCUCAUUGAGAAACUGGCAAAACAUUACCGCAAUCCUGUCAUCUUUCACAAGACUUAUCCGUGUGUUCCCGCAUACAAACUGUUCCUUUUGUUGGUAUUUUUGCUUAUGAUGAACUUAAGAUAAAUAGGAUAGUAGGAAAUAUUUGUGCCGUAUUGAGGGU